CUUCUUCCCACCCCCACCCCUCUCACCAUCCCCACCCUUCUUCCUUUCCCCCCAACCCCAACCCCAACCACAACCCAAU
rnacentral:ribozyme from 1 species